AUGUGGCGGGGCGGCAUGGUGGUGCAGUGGUUAGCACUGUUGCCUCACACCUCUGGGACCCGGGUUCGAGUCUCCGCCUGGGUCACAUGUGUGUGGAGUUUGUAUGUUCUCCCCAUGUCGUCGUGGGGUUUCCUCCGGGUACUCCGGUUUCCCCCCCACGGUCCAAAAACAUGCUGAGGCUAAUUGGACUUGCUAAAUUGCCCGUAGGUGUGCAUGUGUGAGUGAAUGGUGUGUGAGUGUGCCCUGCGAUGGGCUGGCCCCCCAUCCUGGGUUGUUCCCUGCCUCGUGCCCAUUGCUUCCGGGAUAGGCUCCGGACCCCCCGCGACCCAGUAGGAUAAGCGGUUUGGAAAAUGGAUGGAUGGAUGGAUGUAUGUAUGUGGGGGGACGGUGUAUAUAUUACAUCGUGGGGCCCGAAUGUCCCCUCAAUAUGAUAAAAAUAUAUAUUUUGACCUUGUGGGGACCAUUUUUUUUGGGCCUUACAAGGGGAAACUCAAUUUUGUAAAAAUCUGUGACUGCAAUCAAAAAACGAAAAGUGCCGAAGGUUAAGGUUAGGGCUGGGUGGGGGUUAAGGUCGUCAUUAUUGGGAUUAGGGUUUUGCCCAGAGAAAUGAAUGGAUGGUCCCCGCAAAGAUAUGAAUACAAAUGUAUGUGUGUGUGUGUGUGUGUGUGUGUGUGUGUGUGGAAGGGGGUGAGUUGUGUCAAUUACAAACUCCCCAUGCUUCGCUGUACCCAAAAGUGCCAUUUUAAACACUUACAUGCUAUAAUGAACGAACGAUCGAUACAUUUUGCAUCAGGCAUUAGCUCAAAGUUGCGUCGAAGUUAGAAGGAGAUGCAUCUUCUUCGGGCAGGGUCCCUUUAAGAGGACGGAGGCCGGGCGGACCCCCGCCACGGCUGGAAGGGGAGGUGAAGGUCACACUUUUGCUCACAAUCUGAUUACUCACCACUAAUUCCUAACUCAUUUUCUUCUCAGUUUCUGAGCAAAUAUUAUCCGAACUAGAGGUAAUGUGACAUUUCAGAAGGGCACAUUAAAAUCGCUAAAUACAUUUUCAUUAAUUACAUCGAGGGCAACUGUUUGCCCAUGAUUAAAACAGAUGUCUUCCAUUUCCCCGAGAAAGGAAAGCAAUCAUUUCCGUGAAGGCAUUCUCUGUAAAUAACAACAUAGACGCUGAGAGCGAAAAUUGCGGUGGACGGGAAUCAAUCGGCGAACACUGACAGAAAGGUGGAAAAUUAGCUGCAGGUAGAUGCGAUAUUAAUAAUUUAAAAUAUUAUGUGGGAAGUCUAAUGAGUAAUACAGUAACACCGGGAGCAGAACUGGUGUUUGCAGGAAAGGAGAAUCUGUGGCCAAGAGCACCGAGGACGGUAAAAGGCGCAGUUAUGUAUCUGGAUAAAUGGUUUAUAUGUCUAUGUAUGCAAAAUACGGUUAAAAAAUAAUAAAUAAUGAUUACUACACAAUAUCAGACUCCCUCAGCACCAAAACGCUCUCGCAGGAAGAUCACAUGAGCCUCAGACAUUUAUGGCGGCGUGUCUGCUGCGAGGAGAAGCUUAGGGCUUUGAUGUAAAUGGCGCUCAUCCAGUUUAUCCGGUUUGGGGCUCUGUGAUCCGGAGCCAGUCCGGCCAUACCAGCCCGGUCACAUCCGUGCGCAGCGCUUGUCUCUAAACUCUUGGCUUAAUAGGCGCCUGACGCGGUUUACUCCAGGCUCCCAAAAACCAGACCAAUCGGUUUUGUAAUGUGUGUCUCAUUAAUCUGCAUAUGUAUUUUCAUAAUACGGUUAAUAGCCAUUAAGGUUACUGGACCAUAUGAGCUGCAUGUAUUAUAACAUUAAUAACGCUUUAACGUUUACAUUUUACAGAAUAAUUGUUCCAACGUUCCUAUGGAGUAGUUUAAGCAACCAAAAUCAAUUUCGUACGGUUAUGUUUCUCGGAAAACACUCAGACACGUGAUUUCGCGACUUCUCUGCGUAGUUUGAAUCAGCCUAUACCCUCGCUCGCCAGAAGGCGGCGCCAUAAGAUCCAAUUUUACACACCAGUAUAUUGGCAGGGUGAACAGUGGUACAGCAGCAGUGCCAGAGAGACGCCGCAGGUAGUAGCGUCUUUCCCGCCCACUAUGAAAAAAACUGAUUUAAAUAUGCAAAGUAAAAAACAAAUGAUAGUAUUUGAUGAUGUACAUGGCUUACACUGGUGUCCUAAUGAUGCAAUGUAGAGUAAAUGGCCCAUUGCUACUUGUUGGGGUAUCUGCUGUUGUACCUUCCUGCUGUUCAAGCUGAAGGGGAUCCACUAAAUGUGUUGCUCACCAUGUUUCUGCUCUAAGAGCUGUGUAGCCAGUUUGUAGAUUUUGAAAUCUCAGAUCUGUCUCUGGGAUGCUGACCUGUGACCUCUUUGACCUGUGACCUCUUUGACCUGCGACUGUGACCUCUCUCCUGCAAGCCCAUCCUAGCAGCUCAUGUGCCCCUUCUGCAUGCAAGACUGUGUUUUUUUGUUUCCAUAGCGUUUAUCAUCCUUGCUUUGCACCCCUGGAUCUGAAGAAAAGAAAUGCCUUCCCUAGUCUCCUUAGAUGAGGGCUUGGACAGAGGAAAGAGAGAUGAAAAAUUCUUAAAGGGUUCAUGUGUUGUUUUGCGGGGGGUACAGCAGGGGGCAGUGUGGUUACAUUCAUGCAGAUGGUGAUAGGAAGCAGGAAGAACAGCAAAGAGAGCAGCCUUUUAACGGAAGAUGUACAAGUCUCCUCAGGAGGAGGCAGAAUGCAUGGGGAGUGUCUGUCUCUGUCUGUCUGUCUGUCUCUGUCUGUCUGUCUGCCUGCCUGUCUGUCUGCCUGUCUGUCUGUCUCUGUCUGUCUUCCUGUCUGUCUCUGUCUGCCUGUCUGUCUACCUGUCUGCCUGCCUGUCUGUCUACUUGUCUGUCUGCCUGUAGUGGCACACACAUGUCACCCAGGCCAUGAAGCGUGUUCACUAUGAUGGUCAAAAAACAUUAAGUUCAUGCGACAUGACCUCCCCAGCUCUAAUUUUGUUCUAUGUCUGACCACUAUUAGGUUAUGAUAAAGUACAUGCUUUACAUAAUUUACAGAUGAAAAUAGGCCUGUUGGUUUGCAUAUGCAUCAUAAAGCUUCAUCAGUAUGCGAAUCCCGGAGUCCAUCCGCUGAUGUGAUGUUCUCACACGCUGCCAAAUUCCAAGGACUUUGCACAUGGCCAGUAAUAUGUAACGCCCGGUGUGAAUCGGCGCUUCCCGUCCUGGGUGGACUGCACAGCGCAGAGAGGCACGCAGGUAGACCACCAGGGACGUGUGUGUGUGUGUGUGUGUGUGUGUGUGUGUGUGUGUGUGUGUGUGUGUGUGUG